UAAAUACUAAUACCAGAUCGAUAGUGCACAAGUACCGUGAGGGAAAGGUGAAAAGAACUGAGGUGAUCAGAGUGAAAUAGAACCUGAAACCAUUUGCUUACAAUCAUUCAGAGCCCUAUGUAGCAAUACAGGGUGAUGGACUGCCUUUUGCAUAAUGAGCCUGCGAGUUGUGGUGUCUGGCAAGGUUAAGCAAACGCGAAGCCGUAGCGAAAGCGAGUCUGAAUAGGGCGCUUAGUCAGAUGCUGCAGACCCGAAACGAAGUGAUCUAUCCAUGAGCAAGUUGAAGCUAGUGUAAGAACUAGUGGAGGACUGAACCCAUAGGCGUUGAAAAGCCCCGGGAUGACUUGUGGAUAGGGGUGAAAGGCCAAUCAAACUUCGUGAUAGCUGGUUCUCUCCGAAAUAUAUUUAGGUAUAGCGUUGUGUCGUAAUAUAAGGGGGUAGAGCACUGAAUGGGCUAGGGCAUACACCAAUGUACCAAACCCUAUCAAACUCCGAAUACCUUAUAUGUAAUCACAGCAGUCAGGCGGCGAGUGAUAAAAUCCGUCGUCAAGAGGGAAACAACCCAGACUACCAGCUAAGGUCCCUAAAUCUUACUUAAGUGGAAAACGAUGUGAAGUUACUUAAACAACCAGGAGGUUGGCUUAGAAGCAGCCAUCCUUUAAAGAAAGCGUAAUAGCUCACUGGUCUAGUGAUUUUGCGCGGAAAAUAUAACGGGGCUAAAGUAAGUACCGAAGCUGUAGACUUGCACACAACUUAGAUUAUUUAAGUUUAGAAUAUGAGAAACUAAGUUAUAUGUUUAGUUAUAUUUUUACUGAUUUUUAUAGAGUAAAGAUAGAAAUAAAACUUAGUAAAAUCAGUAAAAAUAUUCUUAGACUAAAGUUAAGUAGUUUAAGUUGUGUGCAAGUGGUAGGAGAGCGUUCUAUUUGCGUCGAAGGUAUACCGGUAAGGAGUGCUGGAGCGAAUAGAAGUGAGCAUGCAGGCAUGAGUAGCGAUAAUUAAUGUGAGAAUCAUUAACGCCGUAAACCCAAGGUUUCCUACGCGAUGCUCGUCAUCGUAGGGUUAGUCGGGUCCUAAGUCGAGUCCGAAAGGGGUAGACGAUGGCAAAUUGGUUAAUAUUCCAAUACCAACAUUAGUGUGCGAUGGAAGGACGCUUAGGGCUAAGGGGGCUAGCGGAUGGAAGUGCUAGUCUAAGGUCGUAGGAGGUUAUACAGGCAAAUCCGUAUAACAAUACUCCGAGAACUGAAAGGCUUUUUGAAGUCUUCGGAUGGAUAGAAGAACCCCUGAUGCCAUCGAGCCAAGAAAAGUUUCUAAGUUUAGCUAAUGUUGCCCGUACCGUAAACCGACACAGGUGGGUGGGAUGAGUAUUCUAAGGCGCGUGGAAGAACUCUCUUUAAGGAACUCUGCAAAAUAGCACCGUAUCUUCGGUAUAAGGUGUGGUUCGCUUCGUAUUAGGAUUUACUCCGAAAGCGAAGAAACUUACAACAAAGAGUCCCUCCCGACUGUUUACCAAAAACACAGCACUCUGCUAACUCGUAAGAGGAUGUAUAGGGUGUGACGCCUGCCCGGUGCUCGAAGGUUAAUUGAUGGGGUUAGCAUUAGCGAAGCUCUUGAUCGAAGCCCGAGUAAACGGCGGCCGUAACUAUAACGGUCCUAAGGUAGCGAAAUUCCUUGUCGGUUAAAUACCGACCUGCAUGAAUGGCGUAACGAGAUGGGAGCUGUCUCAAAGAGGGAUCCAGUGAAAUUGUAGUGGAGGUGAAAAUUCCUCCUACCCGCGGCAAGACGGAAAGACCCCGUGGACCUUUACUACAGCUUGACACUGCUAUUUGGAUAAGAAUGUGCAGGAUAGGUGGGAGGCUUUGAGUAUAUGACGCCAGUUGUAUAUGAGCCAUUGUUGAGAUACCACUCUUUCUUAUUUGGGUAGCUAACCAGCUUGAGUUAUCCUCAAGUGGGACAAUGUCUGGUGGGUAGUUUGACUGGGGCGGUCGCCUCCCAAAUAAUAACGGAGGCUUACAAAGGUUGGCUCAGAACGGUUGGAAAUCGUUCGUAGAGUAUAAAGGUAUAAGCCAGCUUAACUGCAAGACAUACAAGUCAAGCAGAGACGAAAGUCGGUCUUAGUGAUCCGGUGGUUCUGUGUGGAAGGGCCAUCGCUCAAAGGAUAAAAGGUACCCCGGGGAUAACAGGCUGAUCUCCCCCAAGAGCUCACAUCGACGGGGAGGUUUGGCACCUCGAUGU
rnacentral:rRNA from 1 species